AAAGGGUGUGUAGGCGGACAUUUAAGUCAGAGGUGAAAUCCCGGGGCUCAACCCCGGAACUGCCCCUGAUACUAUUUGUCUUGAAUACUGAUGAGGUGGGCGGAACGGGUCAUGUAGCGGUGAAAUGCUUAGAGAUGACCCGGAACACCGAUUGCGAAGGCAGCUCACUGGGCAGUUAUUGACGCUGAGGCACGAAAGCGUGGGGAUCAAACAGGAUUAGAUACCCCUGU
rnacentral:rRNA from 1 species